rnacentral:lncRNA from 1 species
AAUGAGAAGAGACACAGAGAGGCUCGUGAAAGAGAAGAAAAUGAGAAGAGGCACAAAGAGGCUCGUGAAAGAGAAGAAAAUGAGAAGAGACAGAGAGAAGCUGGUGAAAGGGAAGAAAAUGAGAAGAGACACAGAGAGGCUUGUGAAAGAGAAGAAAAUGAGAAGAGACAGAGAGAAGCUCGCGAAAGGGAAGAAAAUGAGAAGAGAAAGAGAGAAGCUAGCGAAAGGGAAGAAGGCGAGAAGAGAAAGAGAGACGCCCGUGAAAGAGAAGAAAAUGAGAAGAGACAGAGAGAAGCUCGGGAAAGAGAAGAAAAUGAGAAGAGACAGAGAGAAGCUCGGGAAAGAGAAGAAAAUGAGAAGAGACUGAGAGAAGCUCAUGAAAGAGAAGAAACUGAGAAUAGACAGAGAGAAGCUCAUGAAAGAGAAGAAACUGAGAAGAGAAUAAAAGAGGUUCUGGAAAAGGAAGAGAAUGAAAGGAGGAUGAAAGAGA